rnacentral:lncRNA from 1 species
GUGUAACUCAUGCUGAUGAAUGAUACUUGCAUCUGGCGGACAAGGGUUUCCAAAUCUGCAGCAUUCUGUUCCAGUUACAGUAUGCUAAACAUUAUAUGUUCACGUACCGUCAGGGGAAUUCAGUAAUAACAAGUUAUAUAAGUAUUUGUUGCUUGAAGAAACAACCAUGGUUUUUUUUUUAUGAGACUUAAUGUUUAAUAACCUGUUGGUAUAACACAUUGUCUAUCUGGGGAUUUUGCAGAAAUUUUCUCACAACACAUCAGAGGUACAAAGGCAGACAAUACUGUCUGGAAUUUACUGACUUUCGUUUCCUAUGUAAAGUAUCAUGUAAAGGUGAGUGAUUGCAAGAAAAUCUAGUUCCAUUGGCAGAUCCUAGAUCAAGAACCUGAUACAACAUUUCAGCAGUGCACCAGAGGCUUUAUCCAAAGAAAGAUGAGGCAGCGUCAGGAAAGCUUAACUGAGGUUGAUAUCCUGCUAUCAUGAAAACACUUCUUUAAGAAAGAAAUACUAAUAGCAAGAAGUAACUUGAUAGUUCAUGUGUUUAUUGUCAUAUCCUUACUAGACUUCUAUUCAUGCCCAUUUGUGUUCAUAUCAUUGAUUUUUGCAAUAUUUUCCCACAUUUGAUCACCAUUUCCUCCCAUUCAUUAGAAAAAAAACCACCAAAUUAGCUAAAAAAUUUAAAUUGAAAUGGCAUAAAAUAACUUGGAUUUGAACAAACUUCUAAAUUUGUGAUAGUUAUUCAAUGAUAUGUGGUAUAUAUUCAAUACCCUGACCAUCACUUUGAUUGAGUUCAGAUCCUGGGUGGUAUAUAUUCAAAAUACUGAAUGUUGGUCGAAUAAUAUCCCCUGAUCCUAUGCUCUACAACAUCUACUAGGAAAAAAACUAAAUGUUUUAUGUCGUAUGUCAUGCAGUAAAAAAUUUGAUAACUAGCAGUAUGAGUAUUCAUGUUAGGAUCACUUACCAUGAAGAUUUGUGUUAGGUUCAUGCUACAUUUCAAUAUUUUAUAAAUAUGACCAUCUAAUAACCUACAAGAUGCAGAAACUUACGUCCAGUACUUGCAGUGGCUAGUUACUGACAGUGCAACGCUAAAUUGUAUACUUACUAAUUGCAGGUAAUAAGAAGUGCAAGAAUCAGAGGAGAUGAAGAUGUCAAAAAACAUCAAAUCGGUAAUCAUAAACUUGGAUACUUCCAUUUAUGAUUUUUUAAAGUCAGUAAUUUGGUUCAUCGAAGAAUCUUAUAUAAUGUGGAAUAGUACACAAUUAUCAGCUAGCUAGUUUGAUAUAAGAUUAGGGACUACAUUUUUAUGCACAUUCUACAACACAUAUGCAUUAUUUGAGAUAAUGGAUCUAGUGUAGAUAAUUACUAUUACAACAAACCUUCUUGCAGAACAUGUAUUAUGCUACACAUCGAAGACCACCAUUGGUCAUUGGCAACAAUAGCAUAAGUUAAUUCUCUGCUAGUCAUAUGAAACAAGACCAAGUAAUCAUAGUUAUUCCUUUUAGCUCAUUCUUAACGUUGCUUAUGUGCAUCAAUGCAGGUGGUCACAAAAAUGUUAAGAAAUUGAUGAAUUUCUCAAGAUCAAAGAUGUUCAAAAAGAGGUAUACAAUCAUAACUAACAAAAUCAAGAAAUUCCACUAUCGGAUCAAAAUAAAGUGGCUACUACAUCGGUUUCGACGGCAAUGGCUUAGAGUUCAAAAGAUCCCUUUGUUGAGGAAGUACAGAAAAUUAGAUUAAGCAUCAUCAGCUUCCCAAAUAAACCAUUAUAACAAAUAAGUUGUGUGUAAGUCCCUCACAGAUCUCCAUCAACAAGUGAAAUUUUACAUUUUAAUUUUUAAGCAAAAAAAAAAAGGCUUGGAGUUCAAUUCUUUGAUUUCUUUGGGUAGGAGGAGCAAAAGGAAUGGCUGUUGAUGCAUCUCAUCUUGAAAACAAAGGAUUCAGGUACAUGCUGGCAUAAAUUGUGUUGAAGAAAAAGAAAUAGUUCCAUGCUUUAGAACUCAGGUCAAACUCUCAAACAGCACUUAUGAACAGCCGAUAUUUUCUGCUUACUGGUGUGGGGCUGUAACUUUGAUUGUGUGGCCCUUGUAUGCUAUGAUUGCUCGUGAGGUAUCAGUAUAUAAUUAUGGAGCCCAAAAUGCUUCUCCAAACACACUAUGACAAGGAUAAGACAGAAUGACAGAUUACAGGUAAAACAAAAAAGCUAUGGCCUGUAAAGGCUGAUUAAUUUUAUGCAGACCAGCAUGCAUAAUCUACUUUCAGAGGCUAAUAUGAAUGAGUCCAUUGCUGUGAACACUGCUCUCCCAUGAUGUUAGCCUCAAGGUGAUACCCUUUAUGAACCAAUACAUUUUGAGCUUCAGCUGAACCCUAUCUGGAUCACUGGAAACAAUAGAGACCGCUCAGUCUCAAUCUGAAGUUCACUUACAAUCAGUGUCUUAAAGAUCUUGUCUACCAUUAUUCUUUUCUGUUGUACAAUCUCCAAUAUCUUAAAGAUACUAUUCCUUGCAGUGAGGAAUUGUUCUUGACAAACAGAAUGAGUAUGAUAUGGAAGAUUUUUUACAGGUAAUCAUAGAUUAUAAAAUUUAGUAGACUUCUAACUAUUUUGAACUGUCUGACUGUCAACAUAAAGCUUUCAGAAAAGUGGCACAUGCUCAACUGUCAUUGUUAGUAUUGUGUCAAUGAUGGUUCUAAUCUAUCCUUGAAGAUCCAGUCUCAUUAUUUGGUCCAAGAAAUGUGGAUGGCGUAACUAUUUGCAGAUGGUUCAGCCAAGUGCAGUGAGGGUUGGCAAUGAUCCUUAGAUCAGCUUCUAGUUUUUCCUCGUUGUAUUAAGCACUAUAUCAACUGCCAUUAGACUCGAAGUCCUUGGGAUGCCAACGAGAAAGAAACAAAUCUUGUUGGCAGUGCAAUGCAUAUAAUGAAAUCCAAAUGGUAUUAUAUCAUUGUUGUAAUACCCUUUUGUUUUUCUUUCACUAACUCGAAAAACUAUAUUUGACACACACCUCACAAAUUAUUAUUUACUUCUUAUUUGGAUUUAUACCUUGAUAUGGAAGUCAUUCCAUCAAUCAUUUUUUGUUUCGUAGUUCUAAUACAAAUAAAUUUGUUCAAUCUAUAUUUAAAAUUAAAACUAAUAUGAAAUAGAUCUUCUCAUACUAUUUAGCAUUCUCCCUCAUCUCACCCUCCCUUUUCGUCUUUAGUUUGGGACUGACUGCAGGGGAGAAUUGUGAAGCAGGAGAAGGUGGAAGUCAUUAUCAGAAGAAGCAAGUCCUCCACAUUUUUUCUUUUAGUUUUUAAGUUUUGAAAUACUUGAUUGAUGUUUUAGUUGAUUAAUAUUCCAUAAAAUUUUAAUAUUCAUUAAUUUAAUAUUUUCAAUAUAGAAUUGUUAAUGUUAAUUUAAUUGAUUUAAAAUUUUGUAUCAUGAUAUAAAAAAUAAUAAACCAUAUCUUGUGAUGUUAAUGUUUUAAAACCAUAUUAACAAUAUUCAUAUCUUCUUGUAUUGUAUUAGAUUACAUUGUUAAUCUUAAUGAAAGAUUUUUGAAAUUUUGUAUGAUGACACAAAAGUUAGUAAAUAUCAUAUUUAAAGAUUUUUGUCUUCAAACCAUAUUAACUGAUAUUCAUAUCUUUCUGUAAUAAAUUAGAUUUUUUGACAAAAAAAAAUAUUUAGGAUGAUUGUUGGAUUCGGUUCAAGGUUGGUUUUGGACCCAAACCAGUCAGUUGGAUCCAAGGCAAGCUCUAGAUUGGCUUGGAUCUAGAUUGGCUUGGACCAACUUUGACAUAGGUUGGAUCCCUCGAUUGAGGUAGACUAGAUCUGACUUGGGUCAGGUCCGACAUGACUCUGACACCAAGUCGGUGUGGCUCAAUGGCCCAACAUGGUCCAAUGGCCUAGAGUGACUUGAAUAGCUUGGAGUGGCUUGACGCUCGAUAAGGCUGAACCCAAACCAGGCCAAUUUAAGUUGGUUCGGUAGAUUCAAUGUGAUUUAAGCUGAUUUAAAUCUGAUACAAGUCAGUUUUGGAUGAUUCCAGAUGGGCUCGAGUCGAUUCAGGCUUGUUCAGCUUGAUUUGAGGUCAGCUUAACUCGAAACUAGACCACUUCAAGUUGAUUUUAUGUGAUUCUAGAUACAUUCUAGUUGUAUCAAGCCAGUUCAACUUGAGUCCAAGCCAGUUCAGCUUGAGUUUAGGCCAAUCUUAGGACUAGCGGGCUAGUUACCCCUUUAUCUCUUGGUCUAGUGAAUUUUAAGAGAUUCUAUAUGAUGUUGUUUUAUGAAUUUUAAGAUUAAUCAAUCAUUAACUUUAACCAUUAAAUGAAAUCGAUGUUGAUAUUAUGAUGUGUAUGUUUGACAUGAAUUUUACUAUAUGUAUGAAGUACAUGUGGCCGUGGAGAGUGAUUGAAAUUGGACAUUUUUAUGUGUCCUCGACAAAGGGGCUACCAACCCAUCAUAGUAUAGAAAUUCCACUGGACUGGAUCUAUCAUGCCAUAUACCAAGUAUGGUCUAUGUUGACACUUUCAAUAUAUAUUUAAAUGUCUCUUAGAAUGUGUGUAUGGAUGAAUGAAACUAUAAAUGAAUGAAUGUGAUAAUACGAUGAUACAGAUGAGGACAUUGUUUUUCUAUAAAGGGCAAGCAAACCAGUACUUGUAGGGUGAUUACUGGACUGUCAGAUAUGACGACUUCAUAGUUCCUCCAUCUACUCCAUUUGUUGUUACAAGGAACAUGUAUUGGCGGAUGAGGGAUAACACUCUGUUGAGAGAAAGAUAUGAGUUUUGUUUAUAUGCUAUUGGGAGAAUAUAAGAGAUCAUGUAUUGACGGAUGAGGGAUACCACUCUUAUAUGUUGUAUGUGGAGCCUCAGCCUCUCCAUCUAUUAUUGGAAAAGUGCACCAUCAAGUAUUCGAUCUUUCUGCAUAUAUUAUACGUGGAUGUCCCUUAACAGUUGUGUAGAUAUUGGGCUAUGUUGUAUGAGUAUUCAUGACAUAUGCAAAUUUUUUUAUCAGAUGAAUGGAAAUAUUUCAUAAAUAUUGAAGGUUUAUCUUUAUGAUUUUAAGAUUUCUCAAAGAUUUCUGUAAUAUCUCAAGAAUUGUUUACUUUCCUUGUAAAUAGUUGAUUUGAUCUAUGUUACAAUAAAAUGUAAAUGAUUGAGAAAAGCACAAUUAAAAAAAAGAAAGACUAUGUAAUUGUAAAACUUGCUUCAGCCUACAGUACCCCUCGAUUUCUUUACACACACGUCAUCAACAUAACGAUGGAGAUAUCAAUCCAUAUGCAAAUCGUCCCCCAAUUUACAAAAGCGAACACCUUUUGACUAAAAAGAGCUCCUUUUAAUCAGGGUGGAAAGUAAAAGCAUAUGCAUACAUCGAAUGCAUCAUCAAGAAGAUAGCUAAAUAACGAAAAAGAUCAUGAAAUGGGAUUGGAGAACAGUAUGGAAAACGAUUUAAAGAACCUGCUUCGGUGCGACGACACAUGCGUACCUGAAAUGGGGGGUUUCGACAACUUCCCACAAACUCAUGCUCAUUACGAAAAGGAAUGAGAUCCUCCGUGGCGAUACAAAGAUAUGCAGAGGUGGAGGCGGAGGAAGAAGAUGAUGGACGCGACGCCAGCAGAAACCGGAGAGUAUUGGGCGGAAGCAUGUCGGUGGCGGAGAGAGAGAGAGAAAGAUCAGGUUAAAUUGGAGUCGGCCAAGCCCAAUUUGAUUCGGCCCGUCCGAUCCAUUAUUUAGCAGAUGGGCACAAAGAUUAUGGCCGUUCGGCAGUUGGCCUCUCUCCU